rnacentral:lncRNA from 1 species
CUGCCUUGCUUAGCCCACCUGUGAACAGUUCCGUGGCUGCAAGAGCUUACAGAAACCAGGCACUCCUGGAGUUUUCUGCUUUAAUCUGGAAGCUGAAGUUGGAGGAAACUCAAGAACUUGGGAUGGCAGGAGAAUGUAAUGUGGGGUUUCUUUGUGGCUGGUUGAAGAGAGCCUCCUUAGUUCACCAGGAGAUCUUUGGAAGUGGAAUGCUGGAAGUGUGGCUGCACUGAGGUCUCUGGGUGAUGCACACAGGAACUGGAAGCUGUGAGAGGAGGAUGGUGCUGGCUCAGCUACGCUGAAUUGGCUCCUUGUGACAAAACCCAGAAUCCCUGCUUGGAUGUGUGGGAGAAAUGAGUUUUCCCCCACUUCCCUGGCAGCUCUGUGUGAGCAGCAGGCGGACAAGCAAAACUGAACCGUCUGCAGUCCUGGAGAGCCUGGAUUUAGAAAGAUUUCCAGCAGUCAUCAGCAAAAGAAGAGCAAAAGCUUGCUGCUCGGAGCUCUGCUGUUCCUGAGCAGCUUUGCCGGUGGAAUUGUGGUGCUGGAAUGUUUGCGGCGAGAUGGAUGCAUGGGAGCAGAUAACAACACGUUCCAGCAGCUCCCUUCUCAUAAUCUGAAGUCCACAAACAACAGGCUUUAAGCUCAUCCCCUCUGUGGAUCUGUGAACAGCCCAUGGAUUCGAGGAGCUGUCGGAACACAGGGUGAGAAGUUUCCUUCUCCUGUGGAUCAGAAUGGCACCAGCUCCCAGGCGAGAAGAAAAAGCCUGAUGUAAAUGUGCCUCCCAAGCCUUUUGCUCAGAGAAUUUUGAUCUAUUCCCCAAUUCCCUUUCGUUUUUCCUGCCUUUGCUUCCCAAAAACAUACAUGAUCUGUCACAAUUUAUAACCUCUGGUUUAAGGAGGAUGGGGCAGACAAAUUCAUCUCUAUAAAAGCUUCUUUUUUUAUUGCACUUAAUGCGCACCUUUCGCCUUGUGUAAUGGAGCUUACAUUCUGGAAAAAAAUAACUUUGACAUCUUCCUAUUUUAUCUCUUCUUUCCCUUUGGCUGCAUGAGCAUCCCGCUCCAUCCAUGUGAGCCAGGCAGCACGGGAAGCUUCCCUUUCUCUCCAUCUCCCUUUCAGAUGCUGUUUUUCCCAGAUCUCUUCCUGGUGCCUGGCAUGUUUAGGUAUUGUCCAGCUGUGUAGAUUUCCUCAUUUCCUUCCCUUCUUUCAUAUCAGAGGUGUCAACACCUUGCAAAAUGCGCUAGAGUCACCAUGACUUCAAUGUUCCGGGGUUGUUUUGCUGGUGAGGAGCAUCCUGUAGAUGAUGAAAGGCGAUUUUUGGGUGAUUACUGUGACUCUUGACCUCCCUCCUAUGCCAGUCUGCUCCCAGCGCGUGCCC